AUACGGAGGAUGCGAGCGUUAUCCGGAUUUAUUGGGUUUAAAGGGUGCGUAGGUGGUAGAUUAAGUCAGCGGUGAAAGUUUGUCGCUCAACGAUAAAAUUGCCGUUGAUACUGGUUUACUUGAGUAUAGUUGAAGUAGGCGGAAUGCGUGGUGUAGCGGUGAAAUGCAUAGAUAUCACGCAGAACUCCGAUUGCGAAGGCAGCUUACUAAGUUAUAACUGACACUGAAGCACGAAAGCGUGGGUAUCAAACAGGAUUAGAUACCCUGGUAGUCCACGCAGUAAACGAUGAUUACUAGCUGUUUGCGAUAUACAGUAAGUGGCACUGCGAAAGCGUUAAGUAAUCCACCUGGGGAGUACGCCGGCAACGGUGAAACUCAAAGGAAUUGACGGGG
rnacentral:rRNA from 1 species